AGUAACGCGUGGGUAACCUGCCUCAUACAGGGGGAUAACAGUUAGAAAUGACUGCUAAUACCGCAUAAGCCCACGGCUCGGCAUCGAGCAGAGGGAAAAGGAGUGAUCCGCUUUGAGAUGGCCUCGCGUCCGAUUAGCUAGUUGGUGAGGUAACGGCCCACCAAGGCAACGAUCGGUAGCCGGACUGAGAGGUUGAACGGCCACAUUGGGACUGAGACACGGCCCAG
rnacentral:rRNA from 1 species